UACGAAGGGGGCUAGCGUUGCUCGGAAUUACUGGGCGUAAAGCGCACGUAGGCGGCUCUUAAAGUCGGGGGUGAAAUCCUGGAGCUCAACUCCAGAACUGCCUUCGAUACUGUAGAGCUUGAGUUCGGGAGAGGUGAGUGGAACUGCGAGUGUAGAGGUGAAAUUCGUAGAUAUUCGCAAGAACACCAGUGGCGAAGGCGGCUCACUGGCCCGAUACUGACGCUGAGGUGCGAAAGCGUGGGGAGCAAACAGG
rnacentral:rRNA from 1 species